CAACCCUCGAGCCCCCGUGGCCCGGCGUUGGAGAUCUGCCACGGCAGUCUCCCAAAAUCAGUGGCGGACCCGAAGGCCCUCUCCUUUGCGCAGUAGCAUCAGCCUCGCAUUGGGAUCCCUCGGCGUCCUGCCUCUAAACCCCCCACAAGCCCGCUCCGGCGGCACCAA
rnacentral:misc_RNA from 2 species